rnacentral:lncRNA from 1 species
CUGGCUACUCCGAAUAUCACCGCCUUUGUCAACAGCCCUUUGUCCAGUGUACAUGCAAGCGCAAUCGCCCCUCCCACUACCAGUAUCUUUGGUAUGUUUUUCCCCGUCGGCUUCUCUCCUGUAACCUCUGCUAUUGAAUCCCUCUCAUUCAUGAACUCCUCCGCACUCACUUUGGUGUUGAUUUGGGCCAUUGAUGCGCUUGGUGAUAAACCUGCUCCUGCUGUUUUGUCCCUCUGAUAUGCGCGUAAGCCUGGUUCGAUUUUCUUCACCGCACCCCACAUACCCUGUCUCACCCCGAGCUUAGCAAUCUCCCACGGUAUUCCCAUAUCUUCAUGGUGAAAUAGUAGUACCUCACACGCUGUGGUCUCACCAUCGCCUCUUUUUGAUUCGACUACACCAUGAUAAUAGAUCAAUUUCAGAAACGAACAACACUCAGAAAAUCAGAGACAACUUGCUUGAGUGCAUCACAAUGGUGGUACCUGCACGGAUGCACCAGCUUGAAUAGUAUAAAUCAACUCGCCUUGGCUUGUUUUGUCUUGGUACAGACGGGUAUGGUACUCCCUGAUGCAAAUACAAGAGAGUAUACUAACUAUAGACACAUGUAAAAAGCAAACGAUAUCCAAAAGAUGAACACAUGUCUUGCACGGAUCUAAUAGCUCCACUAGAGUAAGUAUGAUAUUGGCUUGGCUACACUAGCAGCGAAAGAAUGGAAUACCUUGGUAAUGCAGUAAUAAACUCGGCCAGCAUCCCAUAUUCGACGGCCUAUGAUAUACUCCCUGUCGCUACAAAAGAAGGGAAACUGAAAGAGCAGCAGCGGAAGAUGUGAGUAAAGAGAUGGGAGAAGAAGCAAAAUGAAGGUAGCUGAAGUAAGAAACAAGUGCCGACCUUGCGGACCCAUUGGACAACCAUAGUGCCCGUGUCCUUGCAACGCUCGAGGGUAGAGGAAUACAAAAGCAUAUCAUCCCACUUGGAACGGAACUCAUCAUCCCAAAAGAAGUCCCUGACCAUCUCAGGAGUGGCAUCCUCAAACACGGUUCUGCUGCGGUACUGGGGAGGCCCAUUCUGGAAUCAUAUCAUACCAAAAGAUUAAACAUUUGAAGGGAUGCUAAAGCAAGGCAUUCGAAAGUGGAAAGGAGGGUUUACCUCAGGAUCUCGCCUCCAAGCUUGAUAUGAGAAGGUUGGGGUUGAUCGGUCCAUCAUUGGAAUCCAAGAAGGACCGCCAUCUUUGACCUCAACCAACUUCCAUAGAUGCCUAAAAUCAUCGUCCGUAACAAACCCAGAUUUCUCUUUCUCAGCCGCCUGGGGAGAAGAAAGGCUACACCACAAACAAAAGAAGAAGCAGAGUUAUAUAUUGGAUUAUCAGAGAGAGAGAGUGGAAGUGGGUGACAUCAAAUCACCUGGGAGAAGAGGUUUUGAGGAUGGAAGAGGGAAGCUUGAAGGAGGUGAAGUUGAAGAAUUUAGGAGAAUCGGAAAAGAGUUUAGAAUCAUGAGCGGAGAGAUAAGCCCACUUGGGCCUCCAAACCCAACC